UAGUGUUAAUAGCAUACUCUAUUGUACGUUAGCUGCAGAAGAAGACACCGGACUAACUACCGUCGCCACGCAGCCGCGGUAAGUACGGAGGGUGCGAGACGUUAAGUACGGUAAUUACGUGGGACGUAAAGCGCAUGCAGGUGGUUUGUUAAGUCAGAUGUAGAAACGGACCCGGGGCGUACCAACCUACGGUAAGUUGCUAUUUAGUAAACGUGGACAAACUAGAGUACUGUAGAGGGGGUAGGAAUUUCAGGUGUAGCGGUGAAAUGCGUAGAGAUCUGAAGGAAUACCGGUGGCGAAGGCGGCCCCCUGGACAGAUACUGACACUCAGAUGCGAAAGCGUGGGGAGCAAACAGGAUUAGAUACCCUGGUAG
rnacentral:rRNA from 1 species